rnacentral:rRNA from 1 species
UACGUAGGGGGCAAGCGUUGUCCGGAAUCAUUGGGCGUAAAGAGCGUGUAGGCGGCCCGGUAAGUCCCGCUGUGAAAGUCCAGGGCUCAACCCUGGGAUGCCGGUGGAUACUGUCGGGCUCGAGUCCGGAAGAGGAGUGUGGAAUUCCUGGUGUAGCGGUGAAAUGCGCAGAUAUCAGGAGGAACACCAAUGGCGAAGGCAGCACUCUGGGACGUGACUGACGCUCAGGCGCGAAAGCGUGGGGAGCGAUCCGG